UUGUUGGUGGUUCAGUGGUAGAACUCUUGCCCUCCAUGCUGGAGACCUGGGUUUCAUUUCCAGCCAAUGCA
rnacentral:tRNA from 1 species